rnacentral:lncRNA from 1 species
GUGUUUGAAGGUUUGCUUGUGAAGGGUGGUGGAUAUUAAAGCUAUGCGGUAUCAUUGGUUGGCCGAUCAUGUUCUUGUUUGAUUGUUGGUCGACCGGCUCAUGAUACUUGUAUAGUCUAAGUAUCUAACACUACAUGAGUACUGAACUCAGGCGUAUAUAUGGUUAACUAGGGAAUUGGUUGUUGACUUGUUUUAAUGCAGGUUCCCGUUACUU